rnacentral:lncRNA from 1 species
AAAGCGCAGACACUGACAGCAAGUCUUCCAGUCUCUCCAGUAUAACUUAAGUGACAUGCCAGCAAGAGAUGCAAUUUGGUCCCUCAACAGUGUUAAAAAUCUGUUAUUUGAAAGAAUAACUUCUAAAAAUCAAAGUUUAUCUAACCACUGAAACAAACAUUGACAUCGGCCAGAUUCCACUCUCAUAUGACAAUCAAUGACAGACUUUUUCAAUCUGCCAAAAACUGGACUGGAAUUGCAAACAUUCAUUUGGCCACCUUGGAGGAGAAACUGAACAAAUAGCAGCAACCCCCUCUUCCAGAAUGUGAGAGCUCCCUCCACCUAAGAGCUAAAAGAAGCAAAUGCAAAGUUUUUCACUGGUUUUAGAGAAAUAAUGCUUUAGAUAUAAGCAAGCAUCACCUAUAGAAUUAGGUGAGCCCUGUGCCCAUGAAUCUAGUCCUUUCUACCUCUGAUCACUUGUUCAGUACAGUCUUAUCUGCUAACUUCCCUAAAGUAAUUUAUUUACCAAUUACAAUGGAAAAACCCAAGACAAUAUUCUCAGAAGACUUCAGAACCCAAGUUCUCCUCCUUUACACGCUCAGCUACUAAGAAGGCUUUCGUUUCCAUUAAUCCAGUAUUUAACUGAACAAAUUUUUAAGCCCUUAUCACCAACAUAAAGGUGCAGUAGAAAGAAAAUGAGUAUAACACAGUUCCCAUUACCAUCAAGCUUAUGGUUAUGAAGUGUGUAUGGGAGAGAUGGGAGAACCAUAUCAUAUGGUACACUAUGAUAAGAGUCACAGGACCGCCUGUUCAGGCUCUUCAUCUAAGGAGAAACAUACGUGCAGACAGAGCGACCUACAGUCUGUGCUACAACGACAUCUUCCACGCAUCCUGAGCUCGGUGUUACUUACCCUACAGUGGAAAUCCAAAUAGUCCAAAUAUCAACCAGCUGUUUCAGUGGGUAUGAAAAAUGGGACAGAUAAUCCAAAGCAGCCUUACUAGUAAUUAACUAUUGCUUCUACAAUGUAUUAUGAUUCAUCAAAGCUUUUAAUCAUUUAUAUUUUGCUUACACUAUUAAUAAAACUACAAUAUGCCCUGAGAACAUAGUAAAUUCUAGAGAAAUGCCUAUUUAAGAUUCAAAAAUUGCUGUGGAAAAUCUGUAAAUGGAUGACGGUUAACUAUAGUGUUUUAGUAUAUUAUAAAAACAUAAAGACAAACAUUUUAUGUCAUAUAAAUCACUCUUUCUCUUGGAAUUCAGAGUAUAGGCAAAAAAACAGACUUUUACAGAACACCUGAAACAUACUAGUUUGAAAACUCAAGAAACUUUUAUCACUAUCACCACCAACUUCAAAGGGAGAAAGUGGUAGGUGGUUUUAUGGGAAACACUGUAUAAAAGUGCAUCCAUGGUCUCCAUCAAAUUUCAACAGAAGUAUAGUCAUCCCUUGGUAUACCUGGGGCACUGGUUCCCAGACCCCACCACCCAAUACCAAAAUCCUUGCAUACAGGUCUCAGUGGGCCCUGUGGAACUCGUGCAUAAACAAAAAGCUGCCCCUCUGCAUAUUCAGGUUUCACCUUCUGCAAAUACUGUAUUUUCUAUCCACUUUUGGUUGAGAAAAAAAUCUGAGUAUAAGUGGACUCCUGCGGUUCGAACCUCUAUUGGUCAAGGGUCAACUAUAUUCAAAAACAAUCAAAAGUCAUCCUUAUAUCAUCCUCAUCACCACAACCACAACCAUUAUGAAUCACCACGCACUGUUUUGAGCACUUUAAAUUUAAUUAAAUAGGUCUCUUAAUCCUUACACGAGUCCUAUAGAACAAGAACUAUUUUAUAGAUGACAAAACUGAGGCACAAAAAAAGUUAAGGAACCUGCCAAGGUAACCUCUCUACUGCUUCUCCACAGUAGUCCCCCCCUUGGUUUGAUGCAUAAGGCAGAGUAACAGGCAAGGAUUUGCUUAUAGUUUUAAAAAAUUCCCUCCAUCUCCUUCCAUCCCUUUCUAAUUUAUUCUUGUUUUUGCUAUUGCUUUCCUUCUUGAUACCUUCCCACUUACCCAGAACAUGAAAAAAAAAACAAGAGUUUUAUCAAGGCAGCAGUGACAAAAUUAAAUUCACUUUAAUCUAAAGAGCUUAGAAUAAGACAUUAUAAGCUAUCAUUCAACAAGACAUCAGAAAAUUGGCACCAUUAGCUCUUGUAUGUGUUCAAAUCUUAAUAAUCCUUUUCUCAUGAUGAAUCUGUAGAACACUAAAAUUAAACUCCUUUUAAGAAAUUCAUUUUCUUGACCCAGGUGCAAUGGCUCACACCUGUAAUCCCAGCACUUUGGAAGGCCAAGGUGGAAAGAUUGCUUGAGGCUGUGAGUUUGAGAUCAGCCUGGGCAACAUAGCCUUUAUUUAAAAAAAAAAAAAAAAAAAGCCAAGCACUGUGGUGCAUGCCUGUAGUCCCAGCUGCUUGGGAGGCUGAGGCAGGAGGAUCACUUAGGCCCAAGAGUUCGAAGUUACAAUCAGCUGUGAUCACCAGCCUUCAGCCUAGGCAACAUAGCAAGACCCUGUCUAGUUAAAAAAAAAAAAAAAAAAAGGAAAUUAAUUUUCUUUACAUUCCCACUGAUUAUUUUAAGAUCCUUUAUUGAAAACAUAAAGAAAACAAAAAUUGCUAGCUCUUUUUAUCUUGAGGUUAAUAGUUUUCCAAUCAAGUAGAUGUAGAGAUAAAGAAAAUUUAAAGGAAUCUUUCAGGUAUAUUUUAACAUAGAUAAGAUGCUAAGAUAUUAAUUUCAACACCUAAUACACAGUUGUAAGUCACAAUGCUACUUAUAGAUAAUGGCAAAAAUAGUACUCUGGACUCUGAAGGAUUUGUGGUAAGGGGUAAGGAAAGUGGGAAGAUAAAGCACACAAACUGUGUGCUGGUGUGGCAGAAACGGUCAUGACACUACCACUUCAGUUACCCCAUCUGUCUCCUGAUCCCCUUUUUUAUCCUCUAUUUCAGGGUUCCUCAACUUUAGCAUUACAGGAUGUUUGGCUGCAUCCCUGGCCUCUACCCACUAGAAGCUAUUUGCAACCCUCCAGCGUCUCCCUCCAAUUCGUGACAACCAAAAAUUUUUCUGACAUAGCCAGAUAAGCCACAGCUCUAUUCUGCCACUUUUCCUCUCCUUUUCUCUUUGCAAUCUAAGCACCUCAGGCCUCAACAGCUUUCUAUAACUCAUUUGCAGACUCCGGGAUUCACAGAACUGCUGAUUCUUCCACAAAGGGAAAAGGGAGAGAUGUCAAACACACAUAUCCUUUCUGUCUCUGCUCUCCUCAAUGAAAAAAAGGGGAAGCAAAGCAGUCAAUCCUCAGA